GAUACUGUCAUUAUCAUCUCUGGCGAAAGAGCUUUACGACCCUAAGGCCUUCAUCACUCACGCGGCAUGGCUGGAUCAGGCUUGCGCCCAUUGUCCAAGAUUCCCCACUGCUGCCUCCCGUAGGAGUA
rnacentral:rRNA from 1 species